rnacentral:misc_RNA from 1 species
GAUGAAGAACGCAGUGAAAUGCGAAAAGUAAUGUGAAUUGCAGAAUUCAGUGAAUCAUCGAAUCUUUGAACGCAUAUUGCGCUCUUUGGUAUUCCGAAGAGCAUGCUUGUUUGAGUAUCAGUAAACACCUCAACCUCUUCUUGAUUUUUCAAAAGGAGGGUGGACUUGAGCUAUCCCAACAACCUUUACCGGUCGGCGGGCGGCUUGAAAUGCAGGUGCAGCUGGACUUUUAUCUGAGCUAAAAGCAUAUCUAUUUAGUCCUCGUCAAACAGGAUUAUUACUUUUGCUGCAGCUAACAUAAAGGAUAAUUGUCCUCUUUGCUGACUGAUGCAGGAUUUUACGACACUUUAUGUGUUGUUCAACUCGAUCUCAAAUCAAGUAAGACUACCCGCUGAACUUAAGCAUAUCAAUAAGCGGAGGA